rnacentral:lncRNA from 1 species
CGAACAUCUCAUAUCAUCUAAACACACUAAUCUCUUAUUUCUUUGUGUUUUUGUUUGGAGUUUAAAAAAAAAAAGAAUGGCAACUUCAGCAAUCCAACACUCCUCUUUCGCCGGCCAAACGGCCCUGAAGCCAUCCAACGAUCUCAUUCGUAAGGUCGGAGCCUCCAACGGUGGAGGCCGUGUCGUCAUGCGACGUACCGUCAAGUCUACUCCUCAGAGCAUCUGGUUCCAACGCCUAUCUCUCUCUGUUUUCCCUUAAUAUUUAUUCUUCUGAAAAUUGAGAUUUUCCAUUUAAAUUUUAAAAAGUAAAAAUAGUACAAAUGCCUCUGGUUCAAAUUCGGAUUUUGGUUCGGUUUCAAAAUGGUUUUUGGUUUUAUAAAAUAUUAACCAAUGAAAACCUUGUUAAUCAAGAAGACAUUUAACACUAACUAAGUCAUAGUUAAGGGUUAAAUGUAGGUUACUUGGGUUACUCGGGUUACAGGUUACUUGGGUUACUCGGGUUACAGGUUACUUGGGUUACUCGGAUUACAAGUCUGAAUGAGGGUGCUAUUGGUCUUUGUGCACAACCCAUAAACCCUAGAGAGUGUGUUCUCAUAUAAAAGCACUUGUGUGCCUCCACUUUGUAAUACAACGUUUAUCUUUUAAUAACAACACUUUUCCUCUCUACUCUUAGUCAUGUUUCUCUCUAUUCUUCCCACUUGAUUCUUAAAUUAUUUAUAUGGUAUCAGAGCAAUCUUACGAUUCUUAACACUUUUCCUCUCUUUAAUCUUGCGUUACGGUUCGAUUUCUCACUAAAAGGUUGAAUCUUGGUUGUACGGAAGCGAGCUGUUCUUCGUUUCUGGGUUUUGUUUGAAGUUUUCUUGAGUUGAAGCUUUCUGAAUCUUUGGUAAAGCGUUUCUAGUGAAGAGUUUUGGGAGUUUUUCUUUGAAGUUACUCAAAGGUCUCUAAGCGAAUCAAAACGGUCUCGUGGCUAAAGGUCGAAGCUUUCUCUCGGGAUGGCACUGGUGGUUCAAGACGCAAGCAAAGCCUACAAGGAGCUGAAGUUCUCGGUUGGUUUGAAUGGAAACAACUAUCUCUUAUGGAGAAGAAUGACUACAAAUGUUUUGGGUGGAAGAAAGCUCACGAAGCAUAUUGAGUCGACUUAUGAAGAGAUGAAGGAGAAAGACGGAAGCUUGGAUAAGGAUGCUUGGGUACAAGAAGACUUGAACGUGUUGAGUGCGUUACAUGGCUCUCCUGAAGCUUCAAUCUUGGAAGGUUACUCAUAUUGCGAGACAACCAAAGAGCUUUGGGAUACGCUUGCUAGUGUCUUUGUCAACGAAUCGAAUCUCACUCGUGUGUAUGAGAUUAAGCGAGCUCUUGGAAAUCUAAGUCAAGAAGAGAGUGACUUCAACACUCAUUUCGGAAAGUACAGGUCUCUAGUUGCUGAACUAGAGAUGCUUAGGCCAUUCACUACUGAAGCACAAACACUCAAGGAUCGCCGAGAGCAAGACCGGGUGUUUGGGUUGUUAAUGACGCUUAAUCCGAACUAUAAAGAGGUGAUACAACACAUUCUGAGGGAUGACAAGGUCCCCACCUUGGAACAAGUUUGUGCCAAGAUACAAAAAGAGUUCGGGUCACAAGGGCUAUUCGGCACUAAAGGCGAGAACCUCCCAACGGCAAACAAGGCAUUGUUUGUGAAACAUGAAGACAAGAAGACUUUGGUGUGUGACCAUUGCAAUAGGAAUGGCCAUAACAAAGACAAAUGUUGGAUUUUACACCCUCAUUUGAAGCCGGAGAAGUUCAAGAAGCUCAAAUCAAAGGCAAAUGUGGCAAAUGCAAGCGACGGUGGACAAGAGAAUGAAGAAAGGGCGAUUGUGCAAUACGGUCAAGAGAAGGCGAUGCAAGCCAUGAUUCAAGAUAAGGGCUGUGGAUUAUCUUCUCAAAGUCAAGAAACCAUUGUGAGGAACAAGGCGAACCUCGAAGCUCUCAUUCACUCUAUUGCAUCUAAAUUCAGUCCCGGCGGUACCUCUCUCUUUACUUCUAAUUCUUAUGAUUCAAAGUCAUUAGUAUUAGACUCAGGAGCUUCUCACCAUAUGAUAAGUAACCCUAAGUUGUUAGAGAACAUUAAACCGGCGUUAGGGAGUGUUAAAGUUGCGAAUGGUCAUAAUGUGCCGAUUGAAGGAAUAGGUAGUAUAAACCUAUUUAGUAAACGGUCUAGUGCCUUUUAUAUGCCUAAGUUUACUUCGAAUUUGCUCUCGGUUAAGAAGACUACUAGAGAUUUAAAUUGCCUUGCUACUUUCAGUCCUAAUGAUGUGAAAUUGCAGGAUAUUAAGAGUGGUAAUGUGUUCGGACAUAUUAACUUCAUGUUGUCUCAUAAACCGAAUACCAACCCGUAUCCUUAAUGAUCAAUCUCCUUUUCAAGUUUUGAAUAACCAAAGUCCUAACAUUGAUCAUUUAAAAGUAUUUGGAAGUCUUUGUUUUGUAUUUGUCCCAGGUGACCUGAGAAACAAGCUAGAGCCCAAGAGUACGAAAUGUGUAUUUAUAGGAUACUCAACGACUCAGAGAGGUUACAAGUGCUUCGAUCCGGUCAACAAUAGGUAUCAUGUAUCUAGGGAUGUCAAAUUCAUGGAAGACAAGGCCUAUUUUGGAGAAAAGAGUUGGGAAAGUGUGAAAGAUUUGCCUAAUUCAACUUUAGAUCGAGCUAAGAGUCUUCAACAUAUUCUAGAACAUUUGGGUAAUGUUAGUCCGUCACAAGAACGUGUGGAAGCUACACCAAAUGCGGAUACCAAUGAAGCUCAAGAGAGUGAUGAAAAUACACCACAAGAGCCUUUGGAUAUCCAACAAGAGAGUGGUAGAGAAGAAGGUUCAAGUGAAGAAGUGGUAGAGAAAGAUCCGUCUAGUGAAGGUGAAAUUAUUGAAUCAUCAAGCGAAGAUGAGACUUAUCAAGCUCCAAAAGUCACACAAGAUCCGGUCUACACACGGGAAAAUCCAAGGAAGAGUACAAGAGAGAAGAAAUCUCCUUCUGAAUGGAAGAAAGCUAGAAUCCCCUACUACAAUGCUCAAGCCGUGGCUCAUCCAAUACAAGAAACGUGUUCGAUUGACCUUCUUCCUGAAGAACAUAGAGCUUUUAUCAGUAAGCUAGAUGUGGAAUUCAUACCACAAAGCUAUGAAGAAGCCAAGGAAAGAAAGGAAUGGACUAAUGCUGUGGAUGAUGAGGUUCAUGCUAUGGUUAGGAAUCAUACUUGGGAUGAAGAAGAGCUUCCACCAGGGAAGAAGUGUGUGAGUUCAAAAUGGGUUUUCACCAUAAAGUAUAAGAGUGAUGGUGAAAUUGAGAGAUAUAAGGCUAGGCUAGUGGCAAGAGGGUUUACUCAGACAUAUGGUGAAGACUAUAGAGAAACUUUUGCGCCAAUAGCUAAGCAACACACAGUCAAGGUUGUUCUUUCUCUAGCGGUGAAUAUGGAUUGGGAAUUGUGGCAGAUGGAUGUCAAGAACGCUUUUCUUCAGGGGGAGUUAGAAGAAGAAGUGUAUAUGACACCACCUCCGGGUUUAGAGGAUACAGUGGCUCCAGGGAAGGUGUUAAGACUUCGAAAAGCUAUCUAUGGCCUCAAACAAUCCCCAAGAGCUUGGUAUCACAAGUUGAGUUCAACCUUGCUUAGAGAAGGCUUCAAAAGGUCACAUUCUGAUCACACUUUGUUCACUAAACAGGAUAAUCAAGGAAUUGUAGUAGUUUUGAUCUAUGUUGAUGACUUGAUUAUCUCUGGAAGUAACAAAGCAGGUAUCCAAGCUACCAAGUCUUCUUUACACUCUGCUUUUGAUAUUAAAGAUUUGGGUGUUUUGAAGUAUUUCUUAGGGAUUGAGGUGUGUAGAUCCAAGGAGGGACUGUUUCUCUCACAAAGGAAAUACGCUCUUGAUCUUCUAAAACUUACAGGAAAGCUUGGAGCUAAACCAGUAGAUACACCACUCGAGCAAGGGUACAAGGUCAAUCGAAAGGGGGAGAAAGAUGACACUCCUUAUCAUUGCCCCGAACAAUACCGAAGACUCGUGGGUAAGCUUAUCUACUUGAUAUAUACUCGACCUGAUUUAUCUUUUGUUGUGAAUCAGGUAGCUCAACACAUGCAAGCUCCCACUGUUUAUCAUUGGAGUUUGGUGGAGAGAAUUUUGAGAUAUAUCAAAGGAAGUCCCGGCAAAGGCAUAUGGAUGGGAAGAAACUCUAGCACAGAGAUUGUUGGAUAUUGCGAUGCAGAUUACAAUGGGGAUCGCAACACAAGACAAUCAACAACUGGUUUUUGUACAUUCAUUGGUGGGAAUAUUGUGACUUGGAAGUCGAAGAAGCAGAAAGUCGUCUCUUGUUCGAGUGCUGAAGCAGAGUAUAGAGCUAUGAAGAAACUCACAAACGAGUUAACAUGGCUAAAGGCUUUGUUAAAGGACUUUGGGAUCGAGCAGAAGACUCCAAUCACUUUUCAUAGUGACAAUCAAGCGGCCAUCCACAUUGCUACCAAUCCCGUGUUCCACGAGAGGACCAAGCACAUAGAGACGGAUUGCCACAAGACAAGAGAGAAGAUAGAAGAUGGUACGAUUCUCCCUUGUUACACUAAGAGUUCGGACCAAUUGGCCGAUAUCUUUACCAAGGCAGCAAGUAACCAAGUUUGCCAAUUUAUUCAUGGUAAACUUGGUCUUGUAGACCUGACACAUCCUUGAAAAAUAUUCUCCAACUUGUAGGGAUAAUACUCUUUUUCCCUAAGCUUGGUUUUGUCCCACGUGGUUUUCCAAACUUAGGUUUUUAAUGAGGUUAUUCAUACAAGUGCCAAGUUUAUACACAAUUGGGCAUUGUGGUAUAAACUUGAGGGGGAGUGUUAAUCAAGAAGACAUUUAACACUAACUAAGUCAUAGUUAAGGGUUAAAUGUAGGUUACUUGGGUUACUCGGGUUACAGGUUACUUGGGUUACUCGGGUUACAGGUUACUUGGGUUACUCGGGUUACAAGUCUGAAUGAGGGUGCUAUUGGUCUUUGUGCACAACCCAUAAACCCUAGAGAAUGUGUUCUCAUAUAAAAGCACUUGUGUGCCUCCACUUUGUAAUACAACGUUUAUCUUUUAAUAACAACACUUUUCCUCUCUACUCUUAGUCAUGUUUCUCUCUAUUCUUCCCACUUGAUUCUUAAAUUAUUUAUAAACCUAAUCUACUAUCGAGCGAUUUCGGUUCAAGAUUAAUUUCUCAUCAAAUACGUUAACGACCCAUCAGUUUUUUGUUUCCUCAUAUUUAGUAUAGCUAAUCAGCAAACCAUCUAAUUCAGUAUCAAACAAAAAAAACUUGUGACAGGUACGGACCAGACCGUCCCAAAUACCUAGGACCAUUCUCGGAAAACACACCAUCAUACCUAACCGGAGAAUACCCUGGAGACUACGGCUGGGACACCGCCGGUCUGUCAGCCGAUCCAGAAACAUUCGCAAAGAACCGUGAGCUUGAAGUAAUCCACAGUAGAUGGGCAAUGUUGGGUGCAUUAGGCUGCACAUUCCCAGAAAUUCUCUCCAAAAACGGAGUCAAAUUUGGUGAAGCCGUGUGGUUCAAGGCAGGAUCACAGAUCUUCUCAGAAGGAGGACUUGAUUACCUCGGAAACCCUAACUUGAUCCACGCGCAAAGCAUAUUAGCUAUAUGGGCUUGUCAAGUUGUGCUAAUGGGAUUCAUUGAAGGUUACAGAAUCGGAGGUGGGCCUCUUGGUGAAGGACUUGACCCACUUUACCCUGGCGGAGCGUUUGACCCGUUGAACUUAGCGGAGGAUCCAGAGGCGUUCUCGGAAUUGAAGGUGAAGGAGCUCAAAAACGGUCGUCUUGCGAUGUUCCCAAUGUUUGGAUUCUUUGUUCAAGCCAUUGUUACCGGUAAAGGUCCGAUAGAGAAUCUGUUCGAUCACAUUGCAGACCCUGUGGCUAACAACGCUUGGGCUUACGCCACCAACUUUGUCCCCGGAAAAUAGAGUUUGAUCGGAUAAUUUAUGUAAAUUAUAUCUUUUAAGAAUUUGUCAAUGCACUAUAUUCUUUCUUUGGUCAGAAAUUCUCGUUAGCUAUAGCAACUUAGCACAAACACGAAAAGUAUACGUUUAAAAGGCUAAAACAUGGACGAAAAUAAAAAAAUGCCAGCACAAUCGAAGAAUAAGACACUGAACUAAAUUAUCAUGGAUAAUCAUGGAUUCAAUGGGCCAGGCUAAUGAUAAAAAAAAACAGAGAGAAACGUAUUAAGUUUUGAAAAUUUGAGGCUAUAUCCACUUUCCAUGGCUUAAAAAGCAUAACUUUUUGGGGGCGGUGAAUGUGAAGUGACUCAUCUACGAGAAGGAUAAAUCCAAAUAUUUCAAAAAUCUUAACCAAACCCGUAAAAUUGUGCUCUUUGUAGUUUGUCAUCUAUCAAAAACUACUAUCUCUAUACUAUUAAAAGAGAAGUACAAAUGAAAAUGGGUCGGGUUAAAAUCAGAAAAUUGACCCGAAAUUCUGAAAUCGGAUCUUUGAAAUUUUUUUGGAAUAUAAAUUCAAAUUAAUAAUGAAAAAUCGAAUUAAAAUCAAAUAUUUAUGGAAAUCAAAUAAAAUCUGAUUGUACUUAUGAUAACUAAUAAUAAAAGCAUAUUCCGAACAAUAUUAUACAUUAAUCACGUAUAAUAAAUUUGUUCAUAUAUUUUUGGGACUAAUUCCAUAACAAUCAAUGUUUUUGUCAUUAAUUUCGCUCAUUUUAGCCAAUUAUCAUUAAUUGAAAGAUAUUUUACUUGCUUCUAAAGAUUUCUAGAAAAUUUAUCACAAAUAACCCAUCUGUUUUAUAAAUUAAAUUGAUAUUUUUAUUUUGGUCGUGUAAAUUAAAUAGAUAUUUUUAUUUUGGUCGUGUAAAUUAAAUAGAUAUGAAAUCCAUGUAACUAAUUUUAAUUUAAUUAGAUUAAAUCAAAAUUAUGAUAUUUUCAUACCUAUAACUUACCAAAGAAGUUUAAUUUUCAAUUUAUAAAGAUUUCUUGAAUAUGAUUUUAGAAUUAUUCAACAAGAUGAUAAGUAUUUAUUAAAUUUUGUGAAUCAUGAAAAAUAAUAAUUAAUUUUCAAUCAUUAUACUUCAUCUUUCAAUCUAUCAUCUAACAAAUAAGAUACAUAUUCUAUUAUUUCUAUGUCCAAACUUCAUUUUGUUGUAUGACUAAAUAAUAUUCCAAUUAGAACUGUCAAAGCGAGUUGAUUCGUCCCGUUAAAUCCGUUUUGCGAUAGACAAAAAAUAUUUUGACUUGUAGUUAGUCGGUCCACACGACCCGCAGGUAGCAUAUAUGAAAUACAAACCCGUCCCGCGAAUGUAUGCGGAUUUGCGGGAUUGUCCAUGGAUUUUGUUUAAAUAAUUUUAAAGUAACCAAAAUUUAAAAUACUACUAAAAUAAAUAAAUAAAUAAAAAUACUAUUAAAAGUUUGUUUAAAUUACCACAUGUUGAAUAAAUUACAAUUUUAUCAAUAAAUACUAAUAUGCGGGCUGAUCCGCCAACCUGCGGAUGAAAACCGAUUAAACCUAUGACCCACUGCGAAUUAAUCCAUGUGGCCCACUUAUUUGCGGGUUUAAUAUAUUUUCCCAAAUCUGCCCCAUAGUGAGAUGAUGUGGGCUCGACCCGCGGUUUUUGACCUAUUUUGACUGCUUUAAUUCCCAUGAAUCGUCUAAUUUUAGAAUUUUAAAACACAAAAUUCUAUUUUUUAAAUCAUAAUUAAUACGAUGAGUAUAUUUAUAAACAAUUUUACAUUUUCUCUACAAUUCGUUAUUAUGAAUAUUUAUAAUUAUACUACACGAUUCGUUCUACUAAAAAACACACACAAUAUUAAACGCAACGUUUGUAAACCAAUAUUCUCUCGCGGUGAACCGCGGGUCCGAUCCUAGUCCAGUAACAUAUGACAAUUGUUUGUGUAUAUAUGUUCAUCAUAUAUGACUAUAGUUCGUGCUGAAAUAUACUUUUAUAUUUUUGAAACAAUAUAUUUUCUAGACUCCUCUUCUUUUUUUCACAUUUUUCACAUAAUACUAGGUAAGAACCCGUACCAUGCAAGGAUAAGUUUUAUGAUAUAACGAUUUAAAAAAAAAAUCAAAGUUUUAUAUGAAUCUCGAGAUGUCAAAACUAAAUUUUCUAAAUGCGCUAAAAUAUUUUGAAUUAAAAUAAUAUUGUAUAAAUACCAUGUAAUAACACGACUUUUUAAUCUAUAAAUAAAUUUACAAGUUAAAUAUCAAAUAUUUUAUUGAUUUAUAUUAAUAAAAGAAAAUUGUAUUUACAUCAUUCAUAAAUUUUGACUUAUAGAUUUGAUUUAAAUUUAAAUGUUUAUAAUAUAUGAAAGAAUUUUUCGGUGUUAAAAUGCAUAUACUAUAUGUUUGUAUUGUUUAGUUUUUUCAAUUAAAAAAAAAGAACACAAUGCAUUUAAUAAAAAAAAUUUAUAUAGAAUUUUUCUUACAAGUAAAGAUAUCUUAUAAUAAUCAUAUUAUGUAUACAUAAAUCUAUGAGAACUGAAUUUUGAAGAAAAAAGGAUAAAAUCAAGUAGCAUUUGAUAAAUAUUAUAUAUAUAUAUAUAUAUAUAUAUAUAUAUAUAUAUAUAUAUUAUUACUUAACGAAUAUUUUCUGAUACUUUUUGAUGAUGUUGUGUUUACCCAUAUAUAAUUUUUACUUUUCAAUAAUAAUAUAACUUUUUUUGUUCUCCGAUAGCUUGUUAACAUUUUUAAUUUAUCCAAUCAUAUACUUUAUGCAUAUCAACCGAUUUUCUUAUUCCACCUUCUUUCUUUAAAUAGAUUCCAUCUUCUCUGGCUCUCCAAUCCCAAUCGGCUCCAUUAUCAUAACCAGUAUAUUGCUUAAAUGCUGUAAAAUUUUGAUAGUGUUUAUAAUUAGGUCCUUGUUUCAAUGUACACAUGAAACGAGUCGUACCCCAAAUGUUAGCACGAAAAGAAUUUUCAUAUUGCUGUCCGAUUGAUAGUACUUUUGGACCUAUUACGUCAUCUUUGGAAUAACACCUCAUCCAGAGGAGUUUCUUGAAUUGGAGUUCGUUCGUGAUUGUGAUUCCAGUGCCGGAUACAUGGCCAAGAAUGUAAAUGCUAAAAACAAAUAGAAAUACUGAAAGGUUUUUCAUUAUUUUAUUUUUAUUGUUCUGGUUAGAUGUUUAGAUGUUUUGUUUUAUUAACUUGGUUUUUGUGUUUCUGGUACUAUAUAUACACACACAUAUGUAUUACUAUUGUUGGCACAAGAUAUCCUUCUGUAUUUGUUCCAAGUUAUAACAGAUAUCAUAUGAUAUCUUACAUGUGAAGAGGCCGAAGUAUACAUAAAUCUAUCGGAAUUGAAUUUUGAAGAUAAAAGGAUAAACCAAGUUAACAUUUAUGGAAAUCAAUUAUAACCAUCAAGAAAAAAAAUUAAAAUAUAAAAAAUACAAUUUCUUAUUGAUAAAUAUAUUUGUUUAUAUAUUUUUUUAUUACUAUAGACAGUCAGAAAUCCCAACUGAUAUUAUGAAUUCAAAUAAAUUUAUUAUCUAAAUUAUAACACAUUUACUCAAUUUUAAAUUUUGAUUCCAAAGAUAUAAACAAUCAAAACUUAUGAAGUGUCAACACUCCCAAAGAAAACAAAGCCAUCAUUAUGGGAGCUGCCGUAGUUAAGUUUAUCAUAUUCGUGAGUUAAAUCAUAGAAAUCGCAAGCAUAGCCAAUAGGCAAUAACUAACAAGCGAGAUAGCAUGAGAGAACACUAUCCUCUUGGGUUUUAUGUGUUUGGCUCACCCCACAAGAUCUUCCCUCCCACAUGGCAAAACCAUAGCCUCUAUAUAUCUCUUCCACGUAAAUUAAGUUUGUGGAAAUCUAAAAUCAACCAAUAAGAACUCGCUGACGUGUCCCUUUGACAAUCUUCGCCAAAAAUGAACAUUCUACUAUAAAAACGAAGUUCCAAAUCACUAACAUAACACAACAACAACAUCUCAUCUCACUUAUUACUUCUUUUCUUUGUGUUCUUGUUUAGAAGAAGCAAUGGCCACUUCAGCAAUCCAAUACUCUUCUUUCACCGGCCAAACAGCCCUAAAGCCAUCCAACGAUCUCCUCCGCAAGGUCGGAGCCUCCAAUGGUGGCGGCCGCGUCAUCAUGCGUCGUACCGUCAAGUCUACUCCUCAGAGCAUCUGGUUCCAACCCAAAUCUCUCUCUCUCUCUCACUUAUCUUUGUUAUUCUUGAAAGAGAUUUUCCAUUUAAAUACAAAUGCCUGCAAUUCAUUGUGGGUUUCAUUUUGAGUUUUUUUUUGCUUUAGAAGUAUUUUAAACAAUGAAAACUGAAUCUACUAUAGAUUGGUUUGGGUUCAAGAUUUCACUUUCCAUUUUUAAAAAAGUUGAAAAUACUUUGAAAUAUGUCUUUCUUUAUUCGAAUUCGGUUUCGGCUUUUUGGAUCCAUUUUAAUCAUAUUAUACUCAUUUCAAUUUUUCUAUUGGUACUUUUGGUUUGGUUUUGGAUCGAAUUAGACUGGUUUAUCUGGACUAAACAAUCCGUCAGUUUUUGUUUCCUCAUUUUUAGUAUAGCUAAUUAGCAAACCAUCUAAUUAGUAUCCAACAAAAAAACUUGUGACAGGUACGGACCAGACCGUCCCAAAUACCUAGGACCAUUCUCGGAAAACACACCAUCAUACCUAACCGGAGAAUACCCUGGAGACUACGGCUGGGACACGGCCGGUCUCUCAGCCGAUCCAGAAACAUUCGCUAAGAACCGUGAGCUCGAGGUCAUCCAC